rnacentral:rRNA from 1 species
CCGCAUGACGCGAACGAAGAGAGCGUCGAAGCGACCCAAAAAGUGCCAACACAGAAAACAGAGGAGAACAUUCAGUGUUGAACAUUAGUUAGUGGCGGACGGGUGAGUAACGCGUGGGUAAUCUACCUAAGAGUGGGGAAUAACAGUUGGAAACGACUGCUAAUACCGCAUAAACUGCGUAAGCAGCAAAGAUGGCCUCUGAAUAUGCUGUCGCUUUUAGAUGAGCCCGCGUCUGAUUAGCUAGUUGGUGGGGUAAAGGCCUACCAAGGCGACGAUCAGUAGCCGGCCUGAGAGGGUGAACGGCCACACUGGGACUGAGACACGGCCCAGACUCCUACGGGAGGCAGCAGUGGGGAAUAUUGCGCAAUGGGGGAAACCCUGACGCAGCGACGCCGCGUGAGCGAUGAAGGCCUUAGGGUUGUAAAGCUCUGUUUUAAGGGACGAAUGUCGUGGUGAGUAAUAUGCGCUACGAAUGACGGUACCCUAAGAGGAAGCCCCGGCUAACUACGUG